CUUCCCCAAACCCGCGCCUCCUCUCCCAAUUUCCCCCGACGCCGUGCCCUAACCGCCCUUCCCAAUCGGCGUCGCAACACCGCCUUCUCCCUCGUGUACAAGGUGAUCGGCUAAGGAGUCUGAGCCUCUGCCGAUUCUCCACUCUUUGUGAUCGUGUCCUAGCCAGCCCCGACCACCACAACCGACGCCGACUCUCUCUGCCUAGCGUCGACAGCCGGCUACCCCCCUUGUGCUGACACUUCAUCGCUUCCUGUGUCACCUCUCGUCCCCACGGCUAACACCAGUCACCACUGCCGUCACCGUUCAUCCUCGCGAGCAGCCGACGCAGAAGGGGGGGUUGAUCACAGCUGGCCCUGUCCGUGCCCUAGCGCUGACACAAAUCCAACACACUUCUCUUGAGUGUGCCCUAGUGUGGAAUCCAAGCCCUAGUUCUUCCUCUUGCUGCCACUGCCGAGCGAGCUUGCUUCAUCCCUCUAUUUUCGGCAGUCUCCUCUAUGCUGGCCGCCAAACCUACCCUUGCCUCUGUGCCACUCUUCCUUUCACGGGAUGAUCUGUGGCCAAGCGAAAGAAGUCGCCAAUCUAGCUUCAAGACCAGCACUGGAUCUCAGCCUCGGUCUGGUGUGAAGUUGCCGGCAGUUAGUAUGGUGAUCAGACCACAAGGUGCUGAUGUGGAAGGGUUGACCUGUUAGGCAACGGCUCCACCUUGCUUCGAUUACGAUUAUUGGCAACAACUUCACCUAUGACUAACUACUGUGCUCCAACAGCGGAUUUUCUCCGACUGUGAAUUGAGGACUCUGAUUCGAGACGAGCAUCUCAACGUUGGAUUUGACUGGAUUGAACCUGCUAUUUG